UUUCGCUAGAUUAAUUAUUGUGGUUUAAUUUUCUAAAUAUAUUCUUAUAUCUUGCACAUGUUUGUGUAACAGAUCAUGAUAUGAACGAGUGUGAUAAAUAUUACUUUGUAGAAAGAAAAAAGAAAUCCGUAGCUGGGAAUGGUAUGACACCAAAACGGGAAGUUAAAGGGCAAUUUUACCGAGGAUGGUGGAGGGCCAGCAACAAUAAAUCCAUUCGAGACAAGCUAGGCAAUGAUAUUGGUUCAGUGAUGUCGUUAACAUAUUUCAGUUACAAAAAUAACAAUCAAAGACUUGAAGAAAGCAUCAAAACUGAUUGGGUCAUGCAUGAAUUUAAGCUCAAAGAGGAUAAGGUAUGAGUGCAGUUCCAAAAAUGGGUGGUUUGCCGAAUAAGAUAUAAUGGCAAGAAAAACAACGAAGAAGGAAACCGAAACAAAAAUGAAGGCAGUGACGAAAGUUACACUAAUAUUACUUGUGAAAAAGAAAGAGUAGUGCCUAACAUGGAAUAUGUAACUUUAAACACCAAGAAUGUAGAGCAGCAACAGGAACAUUUUGCAGAUAUGUCUCACCAGGAAAAAUCGAACUUAGGAAUUACACACACGAGUAGUAACACUCAUCAAGAGCUGAAAUCCAACAAUAACUAUGAAGGAAAAUCUGACAUGGAAUUAGAAAAUGCAAAUGAAGAAUAUUUAAAUUGGGUGGAGCAUAUGUUUUUUGAUGAUCAUGAAGAGCAGCAGAAACAAUUUUCAAAUAUGUCCCACUCCCACUCCCACCAAGAGCUGCUGCAAGAAAAAGGAGAACAAGAG